rnacentral:rRNA from 1 species
CCUACGGGGAGCUGCAGUGGGGAAUAUUGGACAAUGGGCGAAAGCCUGAUCCAGCCAUGCCGCGUGUGUGAAGAAGGCCUUCGGGUUGUAAAGCACUUUCAGUGGGGAAGAAAGCCUUGGGGCUAAUACCCUCGAGGAAGGACAUCACCCACAGAAGAAGCACCGGCUAACUCCGUGCCAGCAGCCGCGGUAAUACGGAGGGUGCGAGCGUUAAUCGGAAUUACUGGGCGUAAAGCGCGCGUAGGCGGUCUGAUAAGCCGGUUGUGAAAGCCCCGGGCUCAACCUGGGAACGGCAUCCGGAACUGUCAGGCUAGAGUGCAGGAGAGGAAGGUAGAAUUCCCGGUGUAGCGGUGAAAUGCGUAGAGAUCGGGAGGAAUACCAGUGGCGAAGGCGGCCUUCUGGACUGACACUGACGCUGAGGUGCGAAAGCGUGGGUUGCAAACAGGAUUAGAUACCCCUGUAGUC